GUAGGUGGCAAGCGUUGUCCGGAAUUAUUGGGGCGUAAAGCGCGCGCAGGCGGUUCUUUAAGUCUGAUGUGAAAGCCCGCGGGCUCAACCGUGGAGGGUCAUUGGAAACUGGAGAACUUGAGUACAGAAAGAGGAAAGCGGAAUUCCACGUGUAGCGGUGAAAUGCGUAGAGAUGUGGAGGAACACCAGUGGCGAAGGCGGCUUUCUGGUCUGUAACUGACGCUGAGGCGCGAAAGCGUGGGGAGCAAACAGGAUUAGAUACCCUGGUAGUCCACGCCGUAAACGAUGAGUGCUAAGUGUUAGGGGGUUUCCGCCCCUUAGUGCUGCAGCUAACGCAUUAAGCACUCCGCCUGGGGAGUACGGCCGCAAAGGCUG
rnacentral:rRNA from 1 species